UACGUAGGAGGCGAGCGUUGUCCGGAAUUACUGGGCGUAAAGAGCGCGUAGGCGGCGCGGUACGACCGCUGUGAAAGCCCUCAGCUCAACUGGGGAGGGUCAGCGGUAACGGCCGUGCUUUGAGUGCAGGAGAGGGAAGUGGAACUCCGGGAGUAGCGGUGAAAUGCGUAGAGACCCGGAGGAACACCAGUGGCGAAGGCGGCUUCCUGGUCUGCGACUGACGCUGUGGCGCGAAAGCUAGGGGAGCGAACGGG
rnacentral:rRNA from 1 species